rnacentral:tRNA from 1 species
GCGGGCAUAGCUCAGGGGGCAGAGCCCAUGCUUAGCAUGCAAGAGGUGCUGGGUUCAAUCCCCAGUCCCUCCG